CGUAGGUAAUCAAGAUGAGAGUAUAUAAACUAUAAUUAAAAUAAUAACAUAGGAGGUAAGGGAUGAUAAUGAAAGGAAUGAAAGACCCUCAUAAUUAUCUAUAUGUAAUAACUAUAAAUACAUGGAUCACUAAACGGUAGGAUUAAUCGAACAUAAUAAUACCUAUAUUAAAACACAUUAAAAACCACAA